UAAUACAAAUAAGUCCAUUCUUCUCAAUGAUUUGUUAAUGAAUUAUUUCAUGUACUUCUUGGUCUAUGUGAUAAAUAUACUUUGUUUUAUGAUGAAUAUUCAGAUGUUAUGUAAUCGUUUGCUUUGUUAGUGUAUGCAGGUCUGAAAGUGAAGGAGGAGCUCAUCUGGAUCAGCAAGGCUGGACUGCUACAACAAGCGUGGACCUAAGGUAAGAUCGAAAACAUUUGAAUUCUCGUAGAAUGAUGUGUAUUUAGAGAAGGAUAGCUCUUGUUUGGUUUGUUUGUCACUAGAGAGUCUUAGACUCCUAGGGAGGUUAGAUUUGUCCGCAAAUAUAACUCUUUCCGCAUGACACAGAGAAUUGGGGUUUAAUUCUGGAGAGGGAGCCUGAGAAAUGACUACCAUAUCCAAGGAAGGUAGGAGGUGCGCAAAUUACCCAAUCUUGACAUUUGGAGGUAGUGACAAUAAGUAACAAUAGUAGGCUCAUCAAGUCUGGUAAUUGGAAUGAGUACAAUAUAAAUCCCUUAACGAGUAUCCAUUUAAGGGCAAGUCUGGUGCUAGCAACCACAGUAAUUCCAGACCCAAUAACAUAUAUUUAAUUUGUUUCAGUUAAAAAACUCAUAGUUGGAUCUUUUGUCGUAAAGGUCAGUCCGCCUACUCGGUCUACACCUGCCCUUUUGUCCCUUUUGUCAGUGGCAUGCUCCUGGCCUUAAUUGGCUAGGUCAUGGCUCCGACACUGUUACCUUGAAAAAAUUAGAGUGCUCAAAGCAAGCUUAUGCUUUGAAUACAUUAGCAUGGAAUAACGUGAUAUGAGUCUGGUCCUAUUGUGUUGGCCUUCAAGACCGGAGUAAUGAUUAAUAGGGACUGUCGGGGGCAUUCACAUUUCAUUGUCAGAGGUGAAAUUUUUGGAUUUAUGAAAGUCAGUCCACUACGAAAGCAUUUGACAAGGAUGUUUUCAUUAAUCAAGAAUGAAAUUUGGGGGUUCGAAGACGAUCAUAUACCGUAUUAGUCUCAACCAUAAAUGAUGCCGACCAGGGAUCGACAGAUGUUGCUCUAAGGACUCUGCCAGCACCUUCUAAAAAAUCAGAGUGUUUGGGUUACGGGGGGAGUAUGGUCACAAGGUUGAAACUUAAAGGAAUUGAUAUAAGGGCACCACCAGGAGUGGAGCUUGCAGCUUAAUUUGAUUCAAGAUGAGGAAAAUUACUAAGUCCAGACAUAGUAGGGAUUGACAUAUUGAGAUCUCUUUCUUGAUUCUAUGGGUGGUGGUGCAUGGCUGUUCUUAAAGGUGGACCGAUUUGUCUGGUUAGUUACGAUAAUGAACGAGACCUCAACCUACUAACUAGCUACGUGGAGGUUCCCCUUCAUGGCCAACUUCUUAGAGGGACUAUGGCCAUUAAGGCCAUGGAAGUUUGAGGUAAUAACAGGUCUGUGAUGCCCUUAGAUGUUCUGGGACGCACAAGCACUGCAUUGAUGCGGCCAACGAUUUUUUCUUCCUGGUUCAAGAGGAUCUAGAAAUAUUCUUAAAUUUCAUUGUGAUGGGGAUAGACCAUUGCAAUUAUUGGUCUUCAAUGAGGAAUUCCUAGUAAGAGUGUGUCAUCAACUCAUGUUGACUACGUCCCUGCCCUUUUUACACAUCGCCCAUCGACCCUACUAAUUGAAUGAUCCGGUGAAGUGUUCGAAUUGCAUUGAUGAUGGUGGUUCGCCACCAUCGAUGUCGUGAGAAGUUCAUUGAACCUUAUCAUUUAGAGGAAGGAGAAGUCGUAACAAGGUUACAGUAGAUGAACCUACGGUAG
rnacentral:rRNA from 1 species